rnacentral:rRNA from 1 species
UGGGGAAUCUUGCGCAAUGGGCGAAAGCCUGACGCAGCGACGCCGCGUGAGUGAUGAAGGCCCUCGGGUUGUAAAGCUCUGUGGAGGGGGACGAAUAAGGGUUGGCUAACAUCCAGCUCGAUGACGGUACCCUUUUAGCAAGCACCGGCUAACUCUGUGCCAGCAGCCGCGGUAAGACAGAGGGUGCAAACGUUGUUCGGAAUUACUGGGCGUAAAGCGCGUGUAGGCUGCUCGGAAAGUCGGAUGUGAAAGCCCUGGGCUCAACCUAGGAAGUGCAUUCGAAACUUCCGAGCUGGAGUCCUGGAGAGGAAGGCGGAAUUCUCGGUGUAGAGGUGAAAUUCGUAGAUAUCGAGAGGAACACCGGUGGCGAAGGCGGCCUUCUGGACAGCGACUGACGCUGAGACGCGAAAGCGUGGGGAGCAAACAGG